rnacentral:rRNA from 1 species
GAUCAUGGCUCAGGAUGAACGCUAGCUACAGGCUUAACACAUGCAAGUCGAGGGGCAGCAUUGGGAUAGCUUGCUAUUCAGAUGGCGACCGGCGCACGGGUGAGUAACGCGUAUCCAACCUUCCUGCCAGUAGGGAACAGCCCGGCGAAAGUCGGAUUAAUGCCCUAUGUCCUUCAAUGCGGACAUCUAAGUUGAAGGAAAGAUUCAUCGCUGGCAGAUGGGGAUGCGUCCGAUUAGCUUGCCGGCGGGGUAACGGCCCACCGGGGCGACGAUCGGUAGGGGUUCUGAGAGGAAGGUCCCCCACACUGGUACUGAGACACGGACCAGACUCCUACGGGAGGCAGCAGUGAGGAAUAUUGGUCAAUGGGCGUAAGCCUGAACCAGCCAAGUAGCGUGCCAGGACGACGGCCCUACGGGUUGUAAACUGCUUUUAUGCGGGGAUAAAGUGCGGCACGUGUGCCGCUUUGCAGGUACCGCAUGAAUAAGGACCGGCUAAUUCCGUGCCAGCAGCGGC